CGUCUCGAGCAGUCAGUCGAUCAGGACUUGAUGGCAUUGAAGAAGUUACACACCGUUGACCGAAUGAACUGCCGUGAGAGAAACUGGGUUACAAACAAAGGUGAAAGUCUCUGAUGUAUGUCGAAAAGAAUUCUGACCCUUACUCUCGAAGCACUUAUUCUUCAAAAUAUCAGUCGAUAUCAAAGAGAAGUCAUCGUACUGGAAAAGCCUUGACUUAAUUUUCAAUAACUUUCCCGUGCAGAUUUAUAUAUAUGCAUACCUAAAGGCCAUACCAUUUAUCUUGUG